UUUUUUUGGAGUGUUAAAUAUAGUUUGCAUUGUCUGCUGGUAAAAAAUUAUGUAAUAAUGUGGAUUUUUGUCUCAGCAGAUUCCAAGCAGAUCCAAUCAAAGCUAAGAUGCUUCAGUCUUGACCAGCCCUGUCAGCUUUAAGUGUACCAGCAGGCUGGUUGGGAAGAAGAGUGAUUUGAGAGAUUUUGUGCAACAGACAAAGGCUUCUGAUGAUGAGGACAGCAUACGGCCUAGAAAGUGAAGAUAUGGCACAGCAUCCACUGCCCUUCCACCUCCAUCCAUCCAUCCACUGUCAGAAUCAUCUUGGAGCAGAAUUUUGUGAUGGUUUUUUGUCAUUCUCUAGAAACUGAAUUUAAAUAAAUUGUGGAUUAAAAAGUAAGAAUUCUUCAAAAUAAUUUAAAUUAAAAAGAUAUUAAAGUCUUAAAAUUAAUGCAAUAAAAUGUGCGCAAUUUAAUAUUUUAAGUUACCUAAAUCAAUAAAUUUUAACUAUUUUAACAGAUGUUAGUUCAAUGAACUAAAACUUUUUAUUGCAAUACUAUUGUAAUGUAGCGCUGAAGCAACACAAAACAUUAUCCACGAUUGUGGCUGUCAUAUUAAUAACAUUUUAAUUGUCUACACUAUUGUAUUAAAAUGUUGUGAAUUCUAGUUGCUGUGUUUCGGCGUGUUGUUAGAACGCAUCCACAACAGAGCUAUUCUGACAACAUUACUAGUUAAGUUCAUGCGUGCAUGAUUGUGCAAAUAUAAGUUACAAUAUUAUGUUUAUCUUGUAUAAAUAUAUAUGAAUUACCUUAUAUAGGAUAACUAAGCCCAAAGAAUUCAAAACGUUAUAUUACAAAUAUAUACGAUUAUAAUAUGUAUAAAUAAGACAGUCCCAAUCAUUAAUAAGCUAUAGAUGAUCAUCAGUACAAUAAAGCUCCGCGGGUUAUUUACCUCAACGAAACACAUCCUUUAUGAGAUUAAUCAGACACUUAUACUUCAUAAAUUUAAUAUUACAAGUUUUAUCUGCACAAAAUGACGCGAAUGCACAGGUGCAGCUUGAACUAAUAAAUGUUUAACACGCUGAAACAACAACAGAGAAUUCACAACAUUUUAUUACAAGUGUUGUAACACUCAGCCUAUAUCAGGCAGUUUACACAAUGUCAACUGGUUCUUUAACCUUUUGUUUUUUAACGUGUUUGAAUAAACGUCUCAACAAAAUAAACAGAAUAAAUGUCAACCCAAAGUGUAUUAUACAAGA